rnacentral:misc_RNA from 1 species
AAAUCAAGAAAAACUAGUGAUAAUAAUCCAAUGGUUUAAGUUUGUUAAGCCAUAAGGUGCAAUACAUAAAGGCUAUGGAUGCUCUUUCAUCUCCUAUUGACCUCUCUCCUUCACAACAGUGCAAGGAAACAAUAGGAUGUACAGUAGCACACUGUAAAACAAUAAAAUUAAGCAAAUACCAGAAAAUAUGUUAGCUUAGAAGUAUGCAUUUUUGCCCUUUACAUCGCCUCAACUCAAUUACACCUAGAUAAUGAAAUAAUCUUGAUUUUAACAAAU